rnacentral:lncRNA from 1 species
UUUCAAGCCUCAUCAGGAGCAUUUGAAGCCAAAUUAAUGGUCAGGCAAUACAAAAUCUUUAGAAAAUAAUACGGUCGUACAUUAUAUUGCAAGGCAGCCUUGUCGCAAAACUCUUAUUACAGCUCGAAGAGAUAAAUGUUGAAGCAACCGUGAUAAUUUUUCUGACCUGGGAGUUUUUCUAGCACCAUGAGGGAGCAUCAGAGGGAGUGGCACAUUUUUUGAUGAAUUUGUGACACAUUACCGUCACAGGAGAGAAGAGUUAGUACAUAAUGAAUGAAUGUGACAAAUAAGCAUUACAUAUCCUAUUGCAUUUGACUGGAACCUGGGAUCGCCAGAAACAAGUGGGGCCUGACCAGAAGCUGCACUUAGAUACACAUGAUGUUAGAUAGGGAAACUGUUGUAGAGAUGAACCAUAGCACAGUCUAACGGAGAAACACAUGUUUGUGAUAAUUGGUCCUGGUUAAGACAGUCUAGAGCUGCAACUCUCGUUUGUUGUCAGGAUAUAUGACACUUCGCGUUGUAUUCCGCUUUCUUCUCAUCCGACAUUGUCAUACCAUGAUUGAACACUUUUCCUUUUAGGAUCGUCUGUUUGAUUAUGUGGGAUAUUAGCACUACCAUCCAUAGUUGUGUUUGUUAGGUCCUUAUAUGGGGUACAUUCUCUUGAUGUAAACAGGGGCACAUUCAUUUUUCUUCUCUUACUCAUCUGCAGAUAGAAAAGUACAAAUGUCAAACAAUAUAUAAAAGGGUAUAAAGAGUGGUGAAGAUCAUUUAUGCAGGGCAACAUAGUCAUGUGAACCAGAUCCUGACUAUUAUGUACAAAGCAUCACCAAUUAGUUUCUUAAAAAUGAAACAAAGAUUGAGCAUUAACCUCUAUAUGACUUGGGAGCAAUGUACUUGGGAGCAAUGUACGUGUAUAUCUCACAGAAUUCAAGGUGCAUAGUAUGAAGAAAAGAGCCUGUGUAUGCAUGCGAUACGUUGAGCCUGCCUGGGUGUCGGCGACCACACUUGCAUAUAGCCACGACCAGUCCUCGCCUAUGAUAAAGUGUGUGAUUCUUUGCCCGGGGCCGAUAGGGUUGUAGAACAUGAACAUAUUGAUGACCGGAUCACCAAAUAUAGUGGCAAAUACUGUGACUGCCAAACACAUCGUGGUUUUCACAAUAUUGUAGAAAACUGUAGCCACACAUUCAUGCACUUACAGGUGGGAUCCAUGACGUCACACCAUUGCUUCCUCCUCAUCGAUGUCAUCCUGAUCGGUAGGGCCAGCUUCUUUCGCGGG